rnacentral:rRNA from 1 species
GUGACCUCAAAUCAGGUAGGACUACCCGCUGAACAUAA